UGUGCCGCAGGCCCCGCGCGGCCGCGCGCCGCCGGCCCCGCGCGCUGCAGGGCUGCAGGCCCCGCGCGCCGCAGGCCCCGCCGCCGGCCCCGCGCGCCUCCGCCUACGCGCGCGCCGCUUCCAGGGAGGACCGGACGAGCCUACCAAGGCUGCUAUUUGCAGUGCAUCAAAAACAUCUCUAUAAGCCCCGCGCGCCGCCCCGGAUCAGAAAGUAAUUAGCAUGUUGCCACUCGAUGGUGAUGCUUCCAAUCCAAGCUCUAGCAGAAAAGGGAAAAGAAAGGCACAAGAAAGAGAUCUAAAGAGCUAUUUUAGUCCAUUCGUAUCCAGUAGCAUAAACCCAAGCACUCAUGGAAGUGAAGUUGGUAAUGCCAUAAUAGAGGAGGAAGAGGUGGUGGAAACUCAUUUGGAGGACACCAAUACCAUAGACCAACAGCCAGGUAGCAAUGAAAAUGAUCAAAAUGAUCAAGGUACAAUAACUGAGUUCAAUCCGGAUUAUAUCAUUUCUGAUCCGGGGCUUCGGAUUCCAAUUGAGCAAUUUAGUCCUAAUAUUAGAGAUGAAAUUAGGAGGGCUUUCAUGGAACGAGGUCCAACUCAACCUAGUAGUCAUGUUUUUCCUAGAGGACAAGAUAAAAGGCGCUUUCGAAAAGAAUGGUUUGAGAAAUAUAAUUGGCUGGAAUAUAGCUUGGUGAAUGAUAAGGCUUAUUGCUUUUGUUGUUAUCUUUUUAGAAGAGUUGGUGUAGAUGAUGAUAAAUUUGGUUAUGAGGCAUUUACAAAAGAAGGCUUUAGGCAAUGGAAGAAUGCCUACUUAGCACUCCCUAAACAUGUUGGUGGCCCUAAUAGUGCUCAUAAUAGAUCAAGAGCGGCAUUUGAUGAUUUUGAUAAUCAAAGGGCAAGUGUAAAGGAGAAAAUUGUAGUUCAUACCAAAGAGGCACAAAAGAAGUAUGAAACCCGUGUAGAUACAUCUUUGGCUAUUGUAAGUUAUAUUGCCUUGCAAGGUGAACCGUUCCGUGGACAUGAUGAAUCAGAAACUUCAUUGAACAAAGGCAACUUUCUAGAAUUUCUUGAUUGGUACAAACUAAGAAAUGAGGAAGUGAGGCAGGCAUUUGAAUUUGCUUGUCCUAAAAAUGCUAAAAUGACUUCUGGAACAAUUCAGAAAGAACUUGCCGAGUGUUGUGCUCAAGCGGUUACCAAAGUCAUAAAAGAAGAGAUGAGUGGUUGUUUAUUCUCUAUUCUUGUUGAUGAAUCUCGUGAUAUAUCAGUCAAAGAGCAAAUGGCCAUAAUAGUCAGGUAUGUGAAUAAAAAGGGGCAAGUAGUUGAAAGAUUUUUGGGUAUCAAGCAUGUCAAGCUAACUACAUCAGAAGCAUUAAAGAGAGCAAUAGUGGAGGUUCUUAGUGCCCAUGGUUUAACUAUUGCAAAAAUACGAGGCCAAGGGUAUGAUGGAGCUUCUAAUAUGAGAGGUGAAUUCAAUGGUGUUCAAAAACUAAUUCGUGAUGAGAACCCAUAUGCUUUUUAUAUCCAUUGCUUUGCUCACCAAUUGCAGUUGGUAGUUGUUUCGGUUUCAAAGUGUUGUUCAUCUAUAGAGGAUUUCUUUGACUAUGUGGAUAUGAUUGUGAGCAGCACUAGUGCAUCUUGUAAGAGGAAGGAUUUAUUGAUUGAUAGUCAUCAUACAAUUGUUUUGAAUAAGUUGGACAGUGGAGAUAUUUUAUCAGGUAGAGGACAAAAUCAAGAAACAUCAUUGCCUAGGCCUGGAGAUACAAGAUGGGGAUCUCACUACAGGACAUUGCUUCGUAUUGAAACAAUGUGGGACUCAAUAAUAGAAGUUCUGCAAGUGGUGCAUGAUGAGGAACGUAAUCCAUCAAGGGCAGGGGGGUUGGUGCCUAUUAUGGAGUCUUUCAGCUUUGUGUUUAUCAUGAAGAUGAUGUUACAGAUCCUUCGCAUAACAAAUGAGCUAUCUCAUCUAUUGCAGAAGAAGGAUCAAAAUAUUGUUGAGGCCAUGUCUUUGGUUAUUGACGUGAAAACACGUUUGAACAAUUUGAGAAGCGAAGGUUAUGAGCCACUACUUGAAGAAGUCAAAACAUUUUGCCAAGAGAAUGAUAUCCUAAUACCAAAUAUGGAAGAUAGUGUACCAAGAUUUGGUAGAUCAAGGAAAGGAGGGAGAAACAACAUCACUCAAGAUCAUUACUUUCGUGUUGAUACCUUCUUUGCUACCAUAGAUGCUAUCACAACAGAGUUUGAUCAUCGAUUCAAUGAGGUAUCAUCGGAAUUACUUACUUGCUUUGCUUGCCUUGAUCCUAGAGAUUCGUUCUCUAACUUUGAUGUGAAUAAACUUGCUCGCCUCACGGAUAUAUAUUUGGAUGAUUUUUCUUUUGAUGACCGGAAAAGAAUAAGAGACCAGUUAGAAACCUUCAUUAUUCAUGUUAGAAGAGUUGAGGCAUUCAGAGCUUGUUAUGACCUUGCAAGCCUAGCAAUGAAAAUGGUUGAACUUAAGAGGCAUGAAAUAUUUCCCUUGGUUUAUCGCCUAAUUGAGCUGGCAUUGCUGCUACCAGUAGCAACUGCAUCAGUUGAAAGAGCAUUUUCAGCCAUGAAGAUUAUUAAAACUGAGUUGCGGAACAAGAUGUCUGAUGGUUGGCUUAAUGACUUGAUGGUGGUGUAUAUUGAGCGGGAGAUAUUUAAAGGAAUUGAUCUUGAAUCUAUCAAGAAGGCUUUUCAGAAGAAAAAAGAUAGAAAUAUGCAAUUGCCAAAGUCUCCUAGACGCAACUAAUAAUAAAUAUACCGCUUCUUUGGUCCAAUUGUUGAUUUGAUGCGUACUUUACGUAUUUUUCUUCAUUUGAGCGUGUAUGAAACCGAGCCGUACCAACUGCCUACGGUUUACGUCCGACGAUCGUCGGCUAGCCCCCUGGGUUUGACCUUCCGCGUUGACUCGUGCACGAGUUGGCCAGCUCCGGUGCGCUACAUGCAUGUUGGCGCGUCUCGUGCAUUGGAAACCGGCCUUCACUCCGGCGAGUACUGCAUACUCCUCCGUUGGACUGCGGUGGCAGGAGAUCGUGCGGAUAAGCUGAUCAAUGAUUUUAUCGUUCUCUGUGCUGGUUCUACCGUAAAGCUUAUGCUCCGGUCAUACAUGACGAAAUUAAGAAGCAGGUCCCACUAUAUUCUACGGCUGGCAACGUAAUUAAGAAGCAGGAUUGUCUUUCGCAUGGGUGGACCACCACACGACGAUCACUGACGGCAUCCCGAACAAUAAUAAUUAGUAUGGACUCUUCAUUUGUUUCGUUCUAAUGAGAUCAGAUUAUUUGCUUCUAGGAGUUUUGGCUCUGUAAUCACUCGCAAUUGGAAAUGGAACUAUCAGCGCACGUGUUGGUCGCGACGACGCCAGCUUAUUGGUCAGUCGUUUCUUGCGGACUGCUAGCUGCGCUGCGAUCCUUUUUCCUCUCCGAGAACACGAUUUUGCGUGUGGCACGCGACGCUCCUGCCGGUCCAGAUCCAGCCGAUCCAACCGAAACCGGCGCACCGCGACGUGGUUUCGCAACCGCUGUCGCUGCUUUCUCUGCAGCGGGUUCGGUCGUGGCUGCGCUAGCUCCCAAAUUGCCGUCCCAUCGAGAGCCGCCAAACGCUAGGCCGGCCAUCGCGUAGGGGCACAGUCCUCGACACGGCUCGUCGCCGUAGAGCUCACAACGGUGAACUGUGAGCUCAUCGAAGGCGUCGUCCUUGGAACGGCUCCACCGCUGAUGGGACGGGCGUUUUCGGGUAGCGACGGGGGAAAACGCCUUGGGGUUAAAACGCUGGAUUCU